rnacentral:lncRNA from 1 species
GGAGUAUGUGCUAAUCAUAUCCAUCAUAGUUAAUAAUAUCUUAUAUCAAGCAUAGUAUAUCAAUUUGAUCAUGUGUAUAUUGCUAUACACAUAUCUGGACUAUGCUAUUUAGUCGUUUACAUUCAUGACUUAUCUUCAAAUUAAUUAAAUAAGAUCUAUAAAUGGUACUUAUUGUAUGGACUGCAUGCUCAACUGGAGAGCUAGACAUCUAUCUUUAGCUAAAAAAUCUCGGAUGGAAAAGAAUCCAUUCUAAUGAAGUAACGAAGUAUUAGUACCGGGUCUAACGACUAUAUUCAAUGGGGGUUCAUUAGUACCGCUUGGUGCUACGAGCCCCAUUUAGUACCGGUUUCAAUAGCUAGUUUCCGGCAGGGGCUCAAUAGUACUGGUUGGUGCCUCUAUUAGUAUCGGUUGGUGUUAUCAACUGGUACAAAUGUUCAUUGGACCAAUUUGUACUGUUGGUAACACCAAUCGGUACUAAAAGAUGCAUGUAUAAAGUAGAUUUCUUC